AGAGUUUGAUCCUGGCUCAGGACGAACGCUGGCGGCGUGCUUAACACAUGCAAGUCGAACGGAAAGGCCCGCAUUACUUUUGUGGUGGGGGUGCUCGAGUGGCGAACGGGUGAGUAACACGUGGGUGAUCUGCCCUGCACUUCGGGAUAAGCUUGGGAAACUGGGUCUAAUACCGGAUAGGACCAUGGUUUAGUGUCUCAUGGUGGAAAAAUUAUUGUUUUGGUGCAGGAUGAGCUCGCGGCCUAUCAGCUUGUUGGUGGGGUAAUGGCCUACCAAGGCGUCGACGGGUAGCCGGCCUGAGAGGGUGGACGGCCACAUUGGGACUGAGAUACGGCCCAGACUCCUACGGGAGGCAGCAGUGGGGAAUAUUGCACAAUGGGCGCAAGCCUGAUGCAGCGACGCCGCGUGGGGGAUGACGGCCUUCGGGUUGUAAACUCCUUUCGUUAGGGACGAAGCCACACUUUUUUUGGGUGUGGUGACGGUACCUUUGUUAAGAAGCACCGGCUAACUACGUGCCAGCAGCCGCGGUAAUACGUAGGGUGCGAGCGUUGUCCGGAAUUACUGGGCGUAAAGAGCUCGUAGGUGGUUUGUUGCGUCGUCUGUGAAAUUCCGGGGCUUAACUUCGGGGUGGCAGGCGAUACGGGCAUAACUAGAGUGCUGUAGGGGAGACUGGAAUUCCUGGUGUAGCGGUGGAAUGCGCAGAUAUCAGGAGGAACACCGAUGGCGAAGGCAGGUCUCUGGGCAGUAACUGACGCUGAGGAGCGAAAGCAUGGGGAGCGAACAGGAUUAGAUACCCUGGUAGUCCAUGCUGUAAACGGUGGGCGUUAGGUGUGGGGACCGGUUUGGUUUCUGUGCCGUAGCUAACGCAUUAAGCGCCCCGCCUGGGGAGUACGGCCGCAAGGCUAAAACUCAAAGGAAUUGACGGGGGC
rnacentral:rRNA from 1 species